GGACGAAAGUCUGACGGAGCAACGCCGCGUGAGUGAUGAAGGUUUUCGGAUCGUAAAGCUCUGUUGUUAGGGAAGAACAAGUGCAAGAGUAACUGCUUGCACCUUGACGGUACCUAACCAGAAAGCCACGGCUAACUACGUGCCAGCAGCCGCGGUAAUACGUAGGUGGCAAGCGUUGUCCGGAAUUAUUGGGCGUAAAGGGCUCGCAGGCGGUUUCUUAAGUCUGAUGUGAAAGCCCCCGGCUCAACCGGGGAGGGUCAUUGGAAACUGGGAAACUUGAGUGCAGAAGAGGAGAGUGGAAUUCCACGUGUAGCGGUGAAAUGCGUAGAGAUGUGGAGGAACACCAGUGGCGAAGGCGACUCUCUGGUCUGUAACUGACGCUGAGGAGCGAAAGCGUGGGGAGCGAACAGGAUUAGAUACCCUGGUAGUCCACGCCGUAAACGAUGAGUGCUAAGUGUUAGGGGGUUUCCGCCCCUUAGUGCUGCAGCUAACGCAUUAAGCACUCCGCCUGGGGAGUACGGUCGCAAGACUGAAACUCAAAGGAAUUGACGGGGGCCCGCACAAGCGGUGGAGCAUGUGGUUUAAUUCGAAGCAACGCGAAGAACCUUACCAGGUCUUGACAUCCUCUGACAACCCUAGAGAUAGGGCU
rnacentral:rRNA from 2 species